rnacentral:rRNA from 1 species
UUAANUUUCCUGUGCAAAAGCAGGAAUAAAUCUAUAAGACGAAAAGACCCUAUGGAGCUUUAAACUUAUUAUCAUUUAUUUAACCAURUAACAACUUAAAUAAUAAUAAUGCUCUUUAAUAGUUUUCGGUUGGGGCAACCCUGGGGAAAAAUAAAUCCCCCAGAUUGAAAAAAAUAACCCUUAUAUAAGAACUACAGUUCAAAUAAACAAAAUUUUGACAAAACUGACCCAGAAUUAACUGAUCAGUGAACCAAGUUACCCUAGGGAUAACAGCGCUAUCCNUUUCGAGAGUCCAUAUUGACAAAUGGGUUUACNACCUCNAUGUUGGAUCAGGGUAUCCUAGCAGUGCANCCAUUGCUAAUGGUUCGUUUGUUCAACNACUAACACCCUACGUGAUCUGAGUUCAAACCNGAUG